rnacentral:rRNA from 1 species
UAACACUGUGUAGUAACCUGCCCCAGACUCUGGGAUAACCCCGGGAAACCGGAGCUAAUACCGGAUAUGACAUCAACUCGCAUGAGUAUGGUGUGGAAAGUUUUUCGGUCUGGGAUGGACUCGCGGCCUAUCAGCUUGUUGGUGAGGUAGUGGCUCACCAAGGCGACGACGGGUAGCCGGCCUGAGAGGGCGACCGGCCACACUGGGACUGAGACACGGCCCAGACUCCUACGGGAGGCAGCAGUGGGGAAUAUUGCACAAUGGGCGGAAGCCUGAUGCAGCGACGCCGCGUGAGGGAUGACGGCCUUCGGGUUGUAAACCUCUUUCAGCAGGGAAGAAGCGCAAGUGACGGUACCUGCAGAAGAAGCACCGGCUAACUACGUGCCAGCAGCCGCGGUAAUACGUAGGGUGCGAGCGUUGUCCGGAAUUAUUGGGCGUAAAGAGCUUGUAGGUGGUUUGUCGCGUCUGCUGUGAAAAUCCGAGGCUCAACCUCGGACUUGCAGUGGGUACGGGCAGACUAGAGUGUGGUAGGGGAGACUGGAAUUCCUGGUGUAGCGGUGGAAUGCGCAAUAUCAGGAGGAACACCGAUGGCGAAGGCAGGUCUCUGGGCCAUUACUGACACUGAGAAGCGAAAGCAUGGGGAGCGAACAGGAUUAGAUACCCU